rnacentral:rRNA from 1 species
GACGUAGGGCGCGAGCGUUGUCCGGAUUUAUUGGGCGUAAAGAGCUCGUAGGCGGUCUGUCGCGUCGGCUGUGAAAUCCCGGGGCUCAACUCCGGGUCUGCAGUCGAUACGGGCAGACUGGAGUUCGGCAGGGGAGACUGGAAUUCCUGGUGUAGCGGUGGAAUGCGCAGAUAUCAGGAGGAACACCGAUGGCGAAGGCGGCUCACUGGCCCGGUACUGACGCUGAGGUGCGAAAGCGUGGGGAGCAAACAGG